GGGGUGGGGCUCCCCAUGGCUUGCCCUGGAAGUGAAACCUUCCUGAAGGCUUGGCCUGGGGGUGGGGUCUUGCUGGUAGAUGUACAGGGUUAAGUCUCUGUUGCUAGUUGAGUCUCCGCCCUCCUGGGGGUGGGGCCUCCCCAUGACUUGCCCUGGAAGUGAAACCUUCCUGAAGGCUUGGCCUGGGGGGUGAGCCUUGCUGGUAGCUUGCACAUUUGAGGCUUUGGUUGUAGCCUUGCCCUGGAAGUGAGGCUUCAUUCGUAGGUUUCCCUGCUGGGCCUUUCUGGUGGCCUGCACUGGGGCCAGGGCCCUCCCAAUAGGCCAUUGUUCAGUGGAGACCUCCAUGCUAACCACUCUGCCCAGUCUCCUGCUGGCUUUUGGGGGGUUGAGGCUUCUUUGCUGUGGAGGCUUCCCUGCUGUGGUGCUCCUCUGCCCUUUCUCAGGCAGUUUGCUCAUGAAUGAGCAUACCUCCCACUCCAGGUGACUUCUCUAGCUGCUUCUCCAAAUUCUUCUGGGCAGGGGUGCUUCACUGCUCCAAAAUUCGGACUUUGUUAGUGACAUACAAAUAAGCUGAUGAUUUAGGUAUUAAUAUCAUUUAUUGCAUGAAAGGUAUAUGGUAAUGUUUAAAGCAAUAUCCAAAGAGUUGUCAAUUAUUGACAGUUAGAAAGAUAUUAACUAAGGCCCAAGCAGGAGACAGUGGAGAGUAAGAAACUCCUCUUGAUGAAAUUCAAAUCAAAGUGAAGACCCUAAAAAUAUAGGAUAUGACAAUUAUUUUUUCAAUAAAUACAUGUCAUUGCAUUUGGUUGAGAAUGCUUUAUUUCAAGGUGGUUUUUCAGUUCAAAUUA